rnacentral:rRNA from 1 species
AUGUUCGGCUUACUUGACCAACAUGGGAAGCCGGUGCCAUCAUAUACCGGUACUUCCGACACCAGGGAAUUUUCUGUGCAUAAAGGUCAUGGGUUUGGCGGAUUUAUGAAAAGGGUUCAAUUGGAGGAAUCCGAGCAUCUCAAGGAUGAUUCCUUCACGGUCAAGGUCGAUGUCACUAUCAUGAGCGAGUUCCAUACGCAGGAGACGCCAUCUAUCCUGGUGCCACCUUCUGAUUUGCACCGGCACUUAGGGGUUCUUCUGUCGAGCAAGGCAGGCGUCAAUGUCAAAUUCCAAGUUGGUGGGGAGACAUUCUCGGCGCACCGAUUGGUGCUUGCGGCACGGUCUCCUGUCUUUAGAGCAGAGUUCUUUGGCCAGACGAGGGAGGGAACCACCACUGAGGCCAUACGCGUACAUGACAUGGAGGCACCAGUGUUCAGUGCUCUGCUUACUUUCAUGUACACGGAUGCAUUGCCGGAUAUGAAGCAAGAAGAAGAAUAUGCCUUGGCUCAGCAUCUGCUUGUUGCGGUAGACAAGUACAACCUGGAGAGGCUGAAGCUUAUUUGUGAAGAUAAGCUGUGCAAUCGUAUCGAUACGAGCUCCGUGGUGACUAUCUUGGCAUUGGCCGAGCAGCAUCAGUGCCAUGAGCUUAAGGCAGCAUGCUUGGUGUUCCUCAGCUCGCCGACGAAUCUGGGUGCGGCCAUGGAGUCUGAAGGUUUCGAGUUUUUAACCAAGAGCUGCUCUGGUGUUAUUAAGGAUCUCCUCAAGUCCCAGGUUGCUGCUAGUAUACUUUGGAAAAGAAAAUCUAGGUCUUGA